rnacentral:rRNA from 1 species
GGUUAAGCGAAUAAGCGUACACGGUGGAUGCCUAGGCAAUCAGAGGCGAUGAAGGACGUGCUAAUCUGCGAUAAGCGUCGGUAAGGUGAUAUGAACCGUUAUACCCGACGAUUUCCGAAUGGGGAAACCCAAUAUCCAAUGGAUAUUAUCAUUAACUGAAUACAUAGGUUAAUGAAGCGAACCGGGAGAACUGAAACAUCUCAGUACCCCGAGGAAAAGAAAUCAACCGAGAUUCCCCUAGUAGCGGCGAGCGAACGGGGAACAGCCCAGAGUCUUAAUCAA